rnacentral:lncRNA from 1 species
UGACAUGAGCGUUGGGAUGUGGUGGUAAUGUGGGGUCACUGUUUCUACAGGUGACUGGCUGCCUAUCCGGUGUCCUCCCUUAUAAUAGCAGUGAUAUUUACACCAACAGCUGACCAGCCAACUGUCCGGCUCAUCCAUUGGGGAAGUGUUCCUCACAGUGAGGCCUUCUCUAGUCAUAUUUAUGAAUCACUGUAGUGCACCUAUCACUGUAGUGCACCUACUGCUAGAAUGCUGAUUUUGCAUGUGGAGUUGGCAGCAAAAUGAAUGCACACUAUGCUGUCCAAGUGGGGCUAAACUGCUGUUUAAUGUUGUCCACGGUCUGAAAGUUUUACCAUGACAACUCCAUGGUGGUUGGUCCCGAGCAUGUGCACCUCUCGACACAAAUAGGAGUAAAGUUCAGUUAUUUUCUCACGCUCUCGGUAAGGAUGACCAGUGUGCACUCAGAGGUUGCCUGCAGGCUGGUUUUGACCCAGGAGCUGUGAACUGAACCUCCCAGUUCUGAGGUUUUCUGCAGCCGAUGAUCUCUUAAAAAAGGGCAAACACAAAGAACCUAAUUUCAUUUCACGGCUGAGUGGUAAACAACUGUCCAUCCCCCACUUCAGGCUGAGUCAUGCUGUGUAAAAACUCCCUACAAAAGUCUUGCUGGAAGCUGCUCUGACUCCUGUUUUUCCCCGAUGAAAUGUAUUUAUGAGGCCCACAAAUGCCAGUGAAUCAUUUCACAAUUGACUCAUCCGGGUCUUAUCUGCAGUUUUUGGCUGCUGAUCAUGUUUCACGCUAAUUUGUAUCUGAUUGGAUGCACAGGGACAAAGCUAUUUCUCUUCAUUUCUCUUUUUGUGGAGCUGCCAUUGGAGGUGAGAGGUGCUGGUUUUCAGGGGGGCUCACUCACUCACUUAGGCACACACUCACAAACACACUGGAACAGAGGAGUUUUUGAGAGUGUUUUCCUGUGGUCAUAUCUUUACUCACUGACAUUACAGAGAGUGGUGACAGAUAGUCAUGCUGCUGCACACUGCUAGUUGAUAUUUUUAUUCUUCAUCGCAGCACAAAGGGCUUCAGUUAAAGCCACAGUUCACCCAUAAGCUAAUACCUGCAGCAGUACCCUGUAAAGUGUUCCCAUCCAGCAAUUAUCGCCAACAUUAUUCUGCCAUCACUGUUUUGCUUCUUGCUGCCCACACUGCUCUCUGCAUUGAUUUUCUCUCCAUCCAGCUGAAGGCAAUGAAAGCUCCUUCCUUAUUGCCUGUAAAACUUUGUUCAUUCAUUGCAUUAAAAGGUUGAUAUUUCUAUUAACUCUCCGCCCUGAAGGAUCGCGCAUCGGUGUGUGGCCCGUGUGGAGUGGAGGUUUUAAUUCUUUGGAGAAAGAGUCGAUUACUAAAGUAGAGUUUCAGGAGUUAAAGAUGCACCUCUAUGUGUCAGUCCAGAUGCAUUCAGUGUUAUGGGCAGUUGGAGCGCUGGUGUUGAAGGUAACUUUAGUGGCUAGAACAAGUUCAAGGAGCAACAAAUAGAUUACAUAAAAAGAAGAUGUCUCUGCAAAGCUGCAACAUUUCUCUUAUUCUUGUCCCUGAGUAGCUGCUUCCCUACACAGCUGGUUGCACAUAUUAGUCUUGUAGAUAUCUGGACUUUCUGCUUCAACCUGCCUGACCUCACCUGCUGCAUCAGCUCUGUAUGUCUUCCUUUAGGGUGCAAAGUCCAGAGCUAGUGCAAUCCAGUAACCCUGGAGUUUAGGACUGUCCUCAGGCGCAUCCAUGUUGCAGAGAUCACAUUGUUGUAUCAGCAGCACUGUUUUAGGUACUGACUUUGAGAACAAGCUUAGGUCUCAUUUAAAACAGGAUUUUGAAGGGUCUGUUGUGUUUGGGUUAUGUCAUUCAGUUUGCUCCUAAUAUCCUCUGAUGAGUGUGACUGAAACAGUGGUCAGGCACUCUCAGAGUUUUUGAAAGAUUCUGUCUUUAUAAAAGCCCAUCAACCAGAAGGUGUCACCCACAUGGAUGUGGAACUGAUCCAAUACCAAGACAACGUUAGAACAGUCCACCUUGUGUGUUGAUUCUUUUAUGUCUUGUAUGUUUGUCCUCACUCACUUACUUGUUUCAGCAUAAACCAAUUAACCUGACCAAACCAAUUGAGAUAAUCAUGUGUUUGCUGACGGUCAGUACGGUUUGUGAUCUGAGGUGGAUAUAUGGACUCAGCAGGUAAAUGAUGGAGGUCAAAGCUGAGCUCUGUGGAGGUCCCAUGCUGCUUCCAGUCUCAUGUUAAUGGAGCUUAAUUUGCUUUUGCUCACGCUUAUGGUCAUUACUUUCUGGUCAUUAGCCUGGAAUGACUGCUCCCUGUACCUUUCUGCUUCAUUGUCUUUAAGGCUCAUAGCAUUCAGCUUUUGCUAAUAUACAGUAUCUGUGGUCUGCAUGGGUCCUGCUAACACUGUUUGCACUGAGCCCAAUUCAGUGACAUUUAUAUCACACAAACCAGAUAUUAAAAAGCAGGACUCUGUGAAGGCAGUUAAGGAUGAUUCUCAGCAGACUUGAAUUAUUCUUUGAUACAAGCCUGUGAAGCAUGUCUGUAUUCAAGCCUUUAAAGCAUGCUCUGAUCUUUUAAAACUAUUUUGAAGCAGGUGUUUUAUCUUCUGCAGUUUAGUUCUACACUCACAGCCACUUAGAUGGACUUCUAUAUUACUGUGUCUAAGAAAAGGAACUAUCACUGUAGCUUUAGUUUUCUUAGUGAGAUAAAACAGGGUCAACUUGAUCUUUUAAGAGUUUCUUCGUGUCUCCACUCAGCAGCUCUGUCACUAUUAAAAGCAGUCAGCCUGCAGCCUGAUGUACCUGGCUCAGGUACCAGAAAUUUGAGUGUGUGUGCAGUUCUGUGUGUGGUUGUGAAGUCUCACCUCCAAUAGCCAGAGGCGGGCUCUCACUGUACAUGAUGUAGCGCCUACAGUCACUCAGGUUAAACAAUCUCACACUGUCAGGUGUCAGGUUCUGAGUAAUUGUGUGCAUGUUUUAAGCAAGGGUCUCAGUUGGGAGUUGUGGUUGUCAAUCAAUCCCUCCUCCUCCUCCUCCUCCUUCUUUUGUCACACAUGCAGUGCCUCACACGGGAUGUCUUCAGCAGGGAAGUGUUCAAUGCCAGUUCUUAGUCUCAUUGCUUGUCACGAUUUGCAAAAGCUUUUGUACUUUGUUUACUGUGUUUAGUUAUGUGGAUGUGUUUGGAUGAAAACAGUGUGGUGCAGCAGAUGAACCAGCAGGGCAUUGUCACAGGCAACCUCCAAACUAACCAAAAUAUGGAAGUACGGUUCAGAUCAGAACAGAUAUAAAAAUGCUCCACUUAUUCCCAUCAUUCAAGGUAUCCCAGUACUCAAAAGGAUGUGUCAUGAAAACCUGCAUUUACAGAGAAGAUUAGGUCAGAAAAUUCAGGUUCAGAAGCAGGAAAAUGCAGAGAAAUGUGAACUUUUUUUUUUCUUUUUCUUUUUUUUUUUUUUUUUUUUUUUUGGUGGCAGAUGGUCGGCAGCACUCAGCCAAGCAACAGCAGGUUCAUCUUCCACCGCAGAUCCACUUCAGCAAAGAGCUAAACAGCUGCUGCAGACUGGAAGCUGUCAUAUGACAAAAACACUUACUGGUUCUUGGGAGUUACCUCUGACAGAAAUCUCUGAUCGUCAGGUUUUAUUUCUUAUUACACAAGAUUUCUCAAAGACUCCAAAAUAGGAUUUAAUGCAAUGUCAUGUCCUGGAUGCACACGGCAUGCAGGGCUCAUGUUCACCUGUCUAUAGCAAUCAGCCAUCUGAAGAUUUUAAAACACAGCUACAGUUAAUGCCUCUGCAGGUCAGUGAGCUCGAGUUUUCUAAGAACCGAGUCAUCUGUCAAAAAAGAAACACGGUCCGGGGAAGAUUUUAGCCGACACGCUGUGUGACGUGGAGAAGAGGAGAGUGUCAGCUGUCUGUCUGUCUGCCUGCAGUCUGUCAAAAGUGAGUCGCUCUGAGUGUGUGUGUGUGUGUGUGUGUGUGUGUGUGUGUGUGUGUGUGUGUGUGUGUGUGUGUGUGUGUUUGUUAAGGGGGGCAUGUAAAUAAAGGAUUAGAUUGCACAUUGAGUAUGCAUGUGGUGUCUGCCAGUGUGCAGGUAAGUGCUCAUUCUUUGUGAGUGUGUGCCUUCACUGACCUCGUAUCUCAAUAUCAAAGACUGCAGCCGUCUCACACUGAGCUGUCUGCAGGCAUCAGCAUUUUGCACACCUGACAGCGCCUUAGUGUGUGUGUGUGUGUGUGUGCGUGUGUGCCCAUGUAUCGAUCUGAACAUCUCUUCCCGUGGACUUUUCUCUUUCUGGAGUGAGUUAUGACAGCUCACAUUCCAACAAACACAAACAAAGAAAGUGGGUUUUCAUCGACCUGUUUUUCUGCACCUUUUCAAUUUGCUGCAAUAAAUAAAACCCGAGUAGAGACAUUUAACGCUUGUAAAAGGUGGAGAAGUUGGAGUAUUGAUAAAAACAAAAUGUGACAAAUUGCAUCCUGUGCAGGGGAUAAUGAUGAUGAAAAAACCUGCAACACAUGGGCCUGCACUGGAAAAGUCCACAGCCAAAAACUGAGAAAAUCUACUACUCUUUGCUUUCCAUGGGCAGAAACCUCCAGUACUGGAAAAUGGAACCUUUGCAAAAUUUUCAUCAAUUUCUUGAUUUUGACAAACUUGUCUACUAGUAAAGAUAAGUUGCAUUGAAACCCCAACCUCUCCUCAACCCUCUCCAUCUACCAAGCUGCAUAUGGCACAAUACUACAAACAGGAACCAGCAAGUUUUUAAGAGUUUCCCUGCGUGAGCCUGAGACUGGACUGUGAUUUCUAGGCUGAAAAAUCAACAGAAACAUUGAUUUUCUAUUUGAAAUGACCUCAGAGGUCAUCCUGAAUCUCAACUUAAAUUUCAUAUUUCAUUUCACUGGCUUGUGACAGCGCCGAAAAACCAAGAGCUGCUGCGGUUUUUUAGUGUGUGCAUCUCUUCUGCAACAAUUCCCAAGUUUUAGCUGUAAGAUCAAAAACACAAGGUCAAACUAAAGUUAAAGAUUAUUUAAGCACAUUUAAAUCAACCACAGACAGCCUAAGUGCUGUACAAACUUUAAACCAGGUGAGCUGAUAUAUACAGCAUAUUUCAGCGACAAUAAGGCUUUUUAAAAGGUCUUUACUGUGGCCAGAAAGUCACAAAAAAGACAUUAGCUAAAAAUGUCAAUGUGAUGCUUAAAUUGUUAUUUACAACCUGUUUUACACAAAUAUGUUACAAAAAUCCCCUUGAAAAGGUUGAAUUAUCGGUUAAAAUUAUUUAAUUUCAAGGAUGAUGCUGAGGGCUGGAGUUCAAACUAAAGAAUCAGUUAAAAGCUCAAAUUAGACAUGAGAGAGAGAAGGAGGAAAGCCUGCCCAAAAAUGUGUGUAGGAAAGCCGAAUCAGAAAAAAAAGUCAAACUCCACCUCCACAAAAAAACACAGAGACUCAUUCUGCUCUGCUGCAUGGUGACUACUACCCACUACAGCCACUUCCUGCAGAGCAUUCAUGUGUGAGUCUGUGUGUGUUUGUGUGUAGGAGAGUGCAUCACAAUAAGUGAGAGUGGGAGAAUCAAAGGAUCUGCCUACAUGAUG